rnacentral:rRNA from 1 species
UACGGAGGGAGCUAGCGUUAUUCGGAAUUACUGGGCGUAAAGCGCAUGUAGGCGGCUUUGUAAGUUAGAGGUGAAAGCCUGGAGCUCAACUCCAGAAUUGCCUUUAAGACUGCAUCGCUUGAAUCCAGGAGAGGUGAGUGGAAUUCCGAGUGUAGAGGUGAAAUUCGUAGAUAUUCGGAAGAACACCAGUGGCGAAGGCGGCUCACUGGACUGGUAUUGACGCUGAGGUGCGAAAGCGUGGGGAGCAAACAGG